rnacentral:rRNA from 1 species
UACGUAGGUGGCAAGCGUUAUCCGGAUUUAUUGGGCGUAAAGGGAACGCAGGCGGUCUUUUAAGUCUGAUGUGGAAGCCUUCGGCUUAACCGGAGUAGUGCAUUGGAAACUGGGAGACUCGAGUGCAGAAGAGGAGAGUGGAACUCCAUGUGUAGCGGUGAAAUGCGUAGAUAUAUGGAAGAACACCAGUGGCGAAAGCGGCUCUCUGGUCUGUAACUGACGCAGAGGUUCGAAAGCGUGGGUAGCAAACAGG